CUGGGCAAGCAAUUGCGUGAUGUGCACGCCUUGUCCCAUGCCCUGAAACACAGCACCGGCCACCCCGCUCCAGUGCCCCGCUCAGCCAGCAGCCCGGCGGGGCGACUGAGCAGAGCGGUGCUGGGAGCAGGCAGCCCCGGCAGGCUGUAACAGGAGCUGCGGGCCCAGCUGCGUGCGCUGUAAAACUCCCCUUGACACCGCCACGGCCCGCUCCGUGGAGCCCUGGAAUGGUGUCAGCAUUUCUCAGACAGCACCAUAUCAAGUUCCCGCAAAGAUUUUCAAAGAGGUGUUUGCUUCCCUGAGUUUUCUUUGAGUCAGUGCAAAGUGAAGGACCGAGGAGAGGAGAAGGCAGCGCCCUGCGAGUCUCGGGCCAGCCUCGGUGCCUUCCAGUCCUGUCCCUGUCUGCCAGGCGCCCACCCACACUGGUACAUGGAGGGGCCGGGCAAGGCCAGCACCUGAGGGGGAAGCCGGGCACUCGCAGCAAGAGCUCUCUUCCUUACAAGCUGCCACAGGCAUUCGUCUAGGAAGAAGGAUCAGGCACCGAGGCUGCCAGUCCUGGCACCUCCCAGCAGCACUAAAUAAAAACCGGUGGCAAGACGAGGAGGGACUCCUUUAUUUACUUCCCUGCUUGUUGUGGCAGAAGCAGGACGUGGCGGCAGCACCACCCAACAGGGCUCAGCACGGCAGGGGCAGCUCAGGUGCAGCCGGGAAGGUCUGGGCCAGGCGUUUUCCAGCUCAGAGACACUCCUCGCCGGUGGAAGGAGGGGGUGCAAACAGCCCCAGGACUGACCCCUCACGGCCUUGAGACAUUCCUGCUUAACCUGGGCUUAUUUCAACUUAUUUCAACUGAACUUCCUCGGUUCGCCUGGGCUCCCAGAAGUAAGGGCCUUGUUCUGGUUUCUGCAGAGCUCUGUAGACAUGGAUUUAUUUCCUUGUGAGAUGAUUUUUUUUUUCAUGUUGUCAUUUGUUUUGUAUCUUUCCUAACAGACACAGUGUUUAAUUUGCUGUAACUAAAUAUACCGAGAUUUCAGUGACUUUUCUGUCAGUUCCCAUAACUCAUUUUGAUGGGAGCCCAUUGGAUUUUAAUGGAAACCUAUUAGGUGAACAUAUUGCAAUCAUUAAUGAACCUGAUGUGUGAUUAUACAGGGAACCACCUAAAGGCAAUUAAAACCUAUCAAGACCACUAGAGAAUAAAGAGAAGGGAAGUUAGUCUUGUUUAAGACAACUGGCGCAGACAAUGAUCUGAGAAGGAAUUAAAUAAUCCUUGAUGAA